GCGGUUUUUUCCCUCUGGCGGCCCCCCGGCGCGGUCGUGGGGAGGCCGGGCCGGGGUGAGGAGCACUGCCCAGGGAGGCCGGGGUGCUGCAGUGCGGUCGGUGCUGCCGUCAGAGCCUCAAUAAAUUGCCUUACGGCUCCCGAUCUCUUGGAGUGACGCAGCAAGUAUCCCAGGCUCUAGGCCACAGCCGUGCCUCAGCGGCUGCGGAAAAGGCCGUUGGCUGCCUUGCGCCCACCGCCUGGGACGUCUGCAGGCACCGGUAUGGGUGAAGUGAGAGGGGAGGGAAGUGCUGUUGAGCGGGGGUUCUUGCUUUUGUUGCGUAAAGAACAGUGGUCCCCGGCCCGGCUCUGUGUUCUCGCCGUACUCGUCUUGCCUCUUGCUUGUCCCCUUGAAACAGGAGACAAACAGUCCGUGAGGAGAUGCAGUAAAAAUGAAGACAAGAAGAUCACAAAGUUUAUAACAAGAAGUGUUCCUGUAGCCUAUAGAGAUGUCUGAGAGCACCUCCUGCUAUAGUCCAGUAAGCAAAAUAUUUUCUGUACGAUUCCUUAGUUCUCCUAUGAGGGAUAGUACCACAAUCCCACUGUCUACCAUCUUCAUUUUCUUGUUGCAGGUGAAGCCUAUGUGAAUCUGAACUGGCAAGAGAUGAAACUGUUCAACUGAAUUUAGCUACAUUUAAUAUAAUCAUUUACAGCAGAUCUAAUACUAUAUAGCACUAUAUGCUAUGGUCAAAAUGGAUAUUUAGAGUGAUUCCAGAGGCUGGCUCCUCUCCUGUGUACAGUCUGUAGUUACAUUCUAAGAUUAUGCUAUUUUAUGUAAACUACCAAUACUGUAUAGUAUUAUGAUGUCCCGUUGGCUCUAAGGAUUCCUAACAUCUUUCUAUAAAACAAAGAUGAAAAAUGAUGCUGUAUUUACAACCAAUAGAACAUAUGAAUGCUUGCUGUUUGGUAGCAUAAUGAAACUGCUAACUCAGCGUGUCUAAUUUUGCCAUUAUAAAUACAGUGAAUGUACUUUUACUCUGUGAUAAUAAUGCAAGAUAUAGCUUAUUCUUGACCGAACUUGACUGUACCAUAUAGGUCUACACAAUUUUUUCUAUUUAUUCUGAAAAAAGGCAGAUAGGUUUGCUAUGUGUAUUCAUAAAGGUAUGUGCUUAAAUAUUUUCUCGAAAACACCUUGAACUUUAAUAUUUCCAAGCACUCAUAGUCCAUCCUGUCUGUCCUCCCUCUCCCCCUCUUCUUCAGAGAGAAAGAAAUACAUCUUUGUGUGUACUGCACAUGUAUGUAUGAAAAAUAAACUUCCUUGCUAGCAAGUAAA